rnacentral:tRNA from 1 species
GGAGGAGUACCCAAGUCGGUGAAGGGGCGGUCUUGCUAAGACUGUAGGUCGUGAAAGCGGCGCGAGGGUUCGAGUCCCUCCUCCUCCGCCA